GUAGCUCAGGGGUAGAGCGCUUCCUUGGUAAGGAAGAGGUCGUGAGUUCAAUUCUCACCACCA
rnacentral:tRNA from 1 species